GGGAAGGUGGCUCAGUGGUAGAGUGCUUGCCUGGCAUGCAUGAGGCCCUGGGUUCGAUUCCUUAGCAUCACA
rnacentral:tRNA from 1 species